GGCAGCCAAAAAUGGGAAGGGUAAAAUAAUAAUGAACAUUAAGAUGAUAUAUGAAACUAAAAGGAAAGGAUUGGAAAAAAAAUGGCAGACAAAUAAUAAUAUUAUUAGAAAGUAUGGAGAAAAUUACACAAAAAAGAUUUAAUACCUCGCAUAGCAUUAAGAGGAAGAAAAGGAGUAAUGAUUUGUAAAGGGGCAUAUCCAAUACAUAAAACUCCUAAAGUGGGACUUGGGAUAGAAAAACAAACUUACCUUAGUGCUUUAAAAUAUAUAUUUAACUAAAACUUGUGACCUCAACAUAUCGUAAUGAAAGCAACCUAACCAAUACUCUAACCCCCAAAGACUUAGUUAGGAUAAAAACAACCCCAAUUAGUUAGAAAAAGGUUCUUAUUGAUUCUAAUGAUGAGACUUAAAUUUAUAUUGAACACCUCAGAAUUGAAUUAAUUUUGAUUGAAAGUUUAUCAUGGUGCAAAAGAUAGAAAAUAUGAGUCAACUUCCAGUUAAGAAUAAACUCAAUGAUUUCAAGUUCGUGCCAUGGGUAGCUAGGUCGUUUUAAGUUGACAUAAAAACUUCAUGCAACAAAGCAUGCAUAUAAGUGAUUCAAACAAUUGAAAAAUUAUAUUGUAAAAUCAUAUUUAAUUGACAAAAUUAAUAGCUUUAAUAUCAACAACUGUUACUUUUUUUGAUCAUGUAGUUAAGUUUCAAUUGCCUCGAUAAUUUCAUAAGUUUUAAUGUUUAGCUUCAAUCAUUUUUGUUUUUAUAAUCUUUCACUUCUUUUAAGUAUACUUUACAUAGGUGUCAAAACAAAAACUUAAUAUAUUUCGUUGAAUAUCAAUCAAUUUUUCACAUUUUAAGAUAAGCUUCAAGCUUUUCAUUGAGUUCCAUCUACUCCAAUAAUGAUGAUUUCAGCCCAUGUUUGAUUAUGUUGGUCAAAGAUUUCUUGAAACCAUAAAAAAUAACUAAAGCUAAGUGAAAAAAAAAAAAAAUCAAUUUUAAAUAGGCCUCAACUAAAACCAAUGAAAAACAAUCAAAAUAUAUCAAUUAUAAAUUAAAAAAAAGUAUGUACUUAACUACAACACAAAAUAAUUUUUUUUAGCAAACAGUCCUUCAUAAUUAGCCAUCAAAUAUGAAUAUAAAUCAAAUAUACAUACAUCAAGCCUACUCAAAUCAAUGUCAUCAAAAGUGCCAAGCACUCUCAAGCAAUACUUCUAUACAAUGCCCAAGGAACAGGUCAUGAACAUAAGCACUAGCAACGAAAAUUGAGGCACUAAGAUGAAACAAUUACAUCAAUUAAAACUAAUUGUAAGUACGAUGAAUUGGUUUUAAGACAAUGAAGCAAAAAUCAUCACCCAAAACUAUGCAAGGAAAUUUUAUAAAUUUUCGAGUUUCAUAUUUAAAUUCUUGGUAAAUAACUACGUUAAAAUAAGUGUCAAAACUUCUUCAAGUAUGUAGCAUAUAUAGCAUAGAGAUACUUAAUCUUCACUACAAUAUUUUAUAUAUUCAUCACUAUUCAUGCUCUCUACAUGCUCAUCGUUUACAUUUUGAAAUUUUAGUGCCAAAAAUGAAGCUUUUGCUUACAUUAAAUAUAAUUGUUGUCAUGUCCAUGUCCUCACUUCCUAAAAUAUUGGUGCCCUAUCAAUGACGCCCCAAAUCAAAUAAUCAUUACGACUGGUGACACCAAUCUAAGAGUUAUGCCAUGCAUUGACCUUGCCUUACCUCAUUUAAGGGCCUAGACGAACUCCUUAGUAGCCUUUAACAACACUGCUAGAUGUUGUAUGAUGUAGGAACAUCUUUAGUUAUAUAGUCCUUAGGAUUACUUUACCUUAGUUUGUUACCACUAGUUUCUAGAAUACUCCUUUUACCCUAUAAAUAUACAAGCUAUUGUAAGAGAGGGAUUAUUGAAUGAUAUAUACACUCUUUUGAAGCUUUUGGAAGCUCUCUUCUUCUUCUUCCCUGGAUUGGGAAACCCAAAUCCUUCUUGCAGGUCGCAUCUUCCGACGAUCCACUACAUCAUUGUACCACCAAAUAAAAUAUACAGUAACAAAGAUUGAAGUUCUAAUAAGAUUACCUAGAUAUUCUAUAAUUUAAUGCAAUACUAAAUAAAAAAAAUAAAACUAUAUAAAAAAAAAUUGUAUGAGUAAACAAGAUAUUGUCAAAUGAAGCUAAUUAGGAGUCCGAAAUCUAAAAAUAAACAUUUCAAAUUUGAUUUGAAGUUAAUCUAGUUAAUGCACUUCAACAAAUAAAAGACCAAAAUCCAAGAGGAGUCCAAAACAAAAAAAUGAACAUUUCAAAUUUUGUUUAAAGUUAAUUUAUGAAAUGAACAAAAAACACACUAGAAAUAGGAUCUUAGAUGUGAAUUUCAUGAUUUUAUGAGGUUCCACGAACCCAAAAAGCAAUCAAAGACAUAAACCUAAGGACAAAUUCAUACAAAUGAAAAAAAAAAAGAAAACCAAGAAAGAAAAUUCAACCAUCAUGCCAUCAUGCCUUAGGGGUGAAUGCAAUCCAUUUGAGAUUAAACAAGAGUAUCAUAAUAGUGGAAAAGAAAGAAGUUCAAAAGCAAGGUCUUUAUCUGAAGUUAUGAGUUAGUACUUAGUGAAUGUGACGCCCUCAAACCUAACAGCAACUUUCUCCCAAAUUUUAAAGGUGGAUCAGACCGAAAUAAUGCGCGAGUUCAUCCUUCAAAAUUCGUAUAUUUCUCCCUGCCUAAGGUAUGCAACUGAAAAUACUUAAUAUAAGUCGACCAAAGUUCACAAUCAGACACCAAAAUGCUAGGAGAUCCAGUUCAUCAGAGAGGCAAUCGACUUCCAGGCCUAGAACAUAAGGACCACGACCUAUAAUAUGAACAGCCUCUUUUUCAGCUCCACAAAUCGAUACCUAAUUCUAGACCAAGAAAAUAUUUUCCUAGGGAAAGAUUAGAGAACAAGUCGUGGCACUUAGGGGCUCUUUAGGUUCAGUGACACACGUAAUGUAAAAUGUUAUGCUUAUCAAUUUGACAAAUAUCUAACGUCAUGACAACUGUAGAAUCAUGUUAAUGUAUAUUAAUAUAGGUAAUAUUGACAUCACAAUAUAAUAAGCAAAACAUUUGACUGAUAGCAUCGCAACACUUACAUCUUAGCACUCAGAUCUUAAUAGCUGCAUUUCAAUAAACCAAAGAGCCACUAAAAAAUUCCAAAUAUUUCAUCCAUCCAUAACAAGAUUCCCAUCUAGCCUUCAGAACUCGCCGAUAUCAUUUUCAACGAAGCACUCAAGAAAACUUCAACUAAUUUUAUUAACCAACGCCGUCAUCGCCUUCAUUACUCACGCAGUCGUUACUCUUCACUAACCCUU